rnacentral:rRNA from 1 species
GAUGAACGCUGGCGGCGUGCCUAAUACAUGCAAGUCGAGCGAACAGACGAGGAGCUUGCUCCUCUGACGUUAGCGGCGGACGGGUGAGUAACACGUGGAUAACCUACCUAUAAGACUGGGAUAACUUCGGGAAACCGGAGCUAAUACCGGAUAAUAUAUUGAACCGCAUGGUUCAAUAAUGAAAGACGGUUUUGCUGUCACUUAUAGAUGGAUCCGCGCCGCAUUAGCUAGUUGGUAAGGUAACGGCUUACCAAGGCAACGAUGCGUAGCCGACCUGAGAGGGUGAUCGGCCACACUGGAACUGAGACACGGUCCAGACUCCUACGGGAGGCAGCAGUAGGGAAUCUUCCGCAAUGGGCGAAAGCCUGACGGAGCAACGCCGCGUGAGUGAUGAAGGUCUUCGGAUCGUAAAACUCUGUUAUUAGGGAAGAACAAAUGUGUAAGUAACUAUGCACGUCUUGACGGUACCUAAUCAGAAAGCCACGGCUAACUACGUG